GUGAAUUAUCUGCUGUAUUAGAGCUUGAAGGAGGGGACUGGUUUUUGCCUUUGUAUCCUCACCACUUAGCUGAGCCUGUCACAUCAUAAAAAAUGCCUGUUAACUUGCCUUGCCUUGCCUUGGGGAGAUUUGACACUUCCAAGGUGAAGGAAGGGAAGACCUUUGGAGAAUCCUUUGGGAUUUCACUCCCAUCUGGGUCCUCCAAUCUCAUACAUGGUCUUGCAGAUACCUAGAGCCAUCUUCCUACAGCAUGUACUAGUGUUGUCCUCACUGUGUAUCUUGCUUCUGGUUAACAUGGGACAUCAGGACAUCUUCUUGGCAUAUGGUUUGUGCAGUUUUAGACACAGCUUACAACCUCUCUGUGCCUCUGUAUCUCACCCACAAAAUGGGGUCAUGAACAUUUGCCAACUGCCUCAUCACAAUAUGUUAAGGAAAUGCUUCAAGGUCUAUAGAAAAUAACUCCAUAGUUUGGAUUACAAACUAGACAUUCUCCAUGGAGGUGGCAAAUGCCUUUGGUGGGUAUAUUUCUUAUCUUAUGUUUCACUUGACAUGAAUAAUGAAAUGAUCCCAGAACAACAUUCUCUCUCUUGUUGCAUCUCUCAAGGAAUCUGGUAUGACUAAUACACAAGAGAAAUCCCUCAGAGGAUCCUGUUGGGAAGUGGCAUCAUUCUGAUUGCAUCAAGCCCAGAAAGCUGACCAAGGUUCCUAACUGAGAUCCAUCAUCACUCAACAGUUUGGUAUAUACCCACACAAGAAUGAAGUCAAGUAGAUGAAGAAUAAGAAUGGUUAUGGUCCAGAUCACAAUGAUGCAGCUGGAAAGACAAACCAGAGAACAGGAAUGAGAAAAGGUGGUGGAUUGCAUUUGGAAAAUUGGACAGGUCUCUACUGAUGUUCUAUUCCAAACAAGACUCACCAUUUUAAAAACAUCAUCCCAUAGUUUUCAAAGAAUUAAUUUGUGGAUCACCUAAAGGAGAAGAAAAGCUGAUCCACACACUGCAACACAUUACAAAUAAUGGAUUGUGCCCAAUUUAAUAUAACUGGGAUUGAAAAGUGGGACACAAGGAUAAAGUGAAGGCUGGGGAAUGCUGGGGGAAAUUGGAUAAAGACCUAUGGGAAUCUUCUGCAGGUUGUCAUUCUUUAUGCUUCCCUUCCCAUUUUUCUGAUAUCAAAUCUGUAUGCCAAGUAAAGCAAGUAUUAUAUAAUUUUCCAAAUGAGGGAAAUUGAGAGGUUAAAUUAUUUUACCCAUGGUCACAUUGCCAGGAUGGGCUUGAAACCCAAGGCCUCCUCUUCUGGUCUCUCCUAUGUAUUCCUCUGUCUCUUGGAGGGAGAUGAGAGAUAGGAAAAAGUCUGCAAGUUGGUUGAGAGAGUGUUUGUGUUCCAGCCUGCUGUGUUCACUUCUGCUCUGGGUGUCAGAAUAAGUUAUCACCAAGUUUUGAAAUUAUGAUGAGCUCUCUGCCAAUUCAAAAUAACAUUUCUUGCACUAGUAGGCGGCCUUUUUUAUUUUAAUUUCAAAUGUUACUUUCGAAAUAAAGGCUUAUUUUCCCAAGGAAUUCCGAAGGUC
ensembl:lncRNA